GAUCCCAACUCCAUUCUGUGUUGUACUACGUUAAACGUUUAGGUUUAUGUGUGCUGCCAGCUUUUAAAGCCGAGAUGUUGGUUCAGUUGUGGGGGAAUUACUAAUAAUUCAUCUUAAUUAAGCUUUUAGGUGAUAAUCAAUAAUCAGUCUUUCUUGUUACAUACGUUGGCCAUUCACUAACCCCUGUCCCCUAGUUACUGUUGCUAUGCUUGUCAAGCUCUCAGCUUCUCAAACAGACACAAAUC